rnacentral:misc_RNA from 1 species
GGAGUUCUUACUUCCACUGGUUCUGGACGGCAUUUCUGCAGGUUCUCUGGAAGAUAACGUCACUAAUUCCUCUUCAUGUAAAGCAGAAUUCCUAAGUUCUCUAAGGUCAGGGUCAACAGAAGAAUCAGAAAAACAGCUAGUAAAGUAUGAAGUUGUUUGUGCCACAUAAGAAGCAGCCUCGUUGAGAACCGGUACAGAAGUAAA